GCCCUACGGGGGGCAGCAGUGGGGAAUCUUAGACAAUGGGCGCAAGCCUGAUCUAGCCAUGCCGCGUGAGCGAUGAAGGCCUUAGGGUUGUAAAGCUCUUUCGUGGGGGAAGAUAAUGACUGUACCCCAAGAAGAAGCCCCGGCUAACUCCGUGCCAGCAGCCGCGGUAAUACGGAGGGGGCUAGCGUUGUUCGGAAUUACUGGGCGUAAAGCGCACGUAGGCGGACUGGAAAGUCAGGGGUGAAAUCCCGGGGCUCAACCCCGGAACUGCCUUUGAAACUCCCAGUCUUGAGUUCGAGAGAGGUGAGUGGAAUUCCGAGUGUAGAGGUGAAAUUCGUAGAUAUUCGGAGGAACACCAGUGGCGAAGGCGGCUCACUGGCUCGAUACUGACGCUGAGGUGCGAAAGCGUGGGGAGCAAACAGGAUUAGAUACCCCUGUAGUCUA
rnacentral:rRNA from 1 species